rnacentral:rRNA from 1 species
UACGUAGGGGGCAAGCGUUGUCCGGAUUUAUUGGGCGUAAAGAGCGUGUAGGCGGCCGCACAGGUCCGUUGUGAAAACUGGAGGCUUAACCUUCAGACGUCGAUGGAAACCGUGCGGCUAGAGUCCGGAAGAGGAGAAUGGAAUUCCUGGUGUAGCGGUGAAAUGCGCAGAUAUCAGGAGGAACACCGGUGGCGAAGGCGGUUCUCUGGGCAUUACCUGACGCUGAGGAGCGAAAGUGUGGGGAGCGAACAGG